AUACGUAGGGGGCGAGCGUUGUCCGGAAUGAUUGGGCGUAAAGGGCGUGUAGGCGGUUUGGCAAGUCAGAAGUGAAAUUCCCGGGCUUAACUUGGGCGCUGCUUCUGAAACUGCUUAACUUGAGUGCUGGAGAGGAUAGUGGAAUUCCUAGUGUAGCGGUAAAAUGCGCAGAUAUUAGGAGGAACACCGGUGGCGAAGGCGGCUAGCUUGACAGUAACUGACGCGGGGGCGAGAAAGCGCGGGGAGCAAACAUUGAUAGAUCCCCUGGGAGUCCGCCCAGUAAUCGAUGAAAACUGGUUUUCGGCGAUAUAAUGUCGGAGGCGAAGCGAAAGCGAUAAGUAUUCCACCUGGGGAGUACGCCGGCAACGGUGAAACUCAAAUGAAUUGGCGGGG
rnacentral:rRNA from 1 species